UACGGGGGGGGCAAGCGUUGUUCGAAUUACUGGGCGUAAAGGGCUCGUAGGCGGCCAACUAAGUCCGACGUGAAAUCCCAAGGCUUAACCUUGGAACUGCGUCGGAUACUGGAUGGCUUGAAUUCGGGAGAGGGAUGCAGAAUUCCAGGUGUAGCGGUGAAAUGCGUAGAUAUCAAGAGGAACACCUGAGGUGAAGACGGGUUGCUGGGCCAACACUGACGCUGAGGCGCGAAAGCCAGGGGAGCAAACGGG
rnacentral:rRNA from 1 species